rnacentral:rRNA from 1 species
CCUACGGGGGGCUGCAGUAGGGAGUUUUCGGCAAUGGGGGGAACCCUGACCGAGCAAUGCCGCGUGAGCGAAGAAGGUCUUUGGAUUGUAAAGCUCUGUUGUAGGGGAUGAACUGACUAGGAAGGAAAUGUCCUGGUCUUGACAGUACCUUACCAGAAAGCCACGGCUAACUACGUGCCAGCAGCCGCGGUAAUACGUAGGUGGCAAGCGUUAUCCGGAAUUAUUGGGCGUAAAGCGUGAGCAGGCGGCCGUUUAAGUUUGAAGUCAAAUCCAGGGGCUCAACCCCUGUCCGCUUUGAAAACUGGAUGGCUAGAGUACGAGAGAGGUAUGUGGAAUUCCAAGUGUAGCGGUGAAAUGCGUAGAUAUUUGGAGGAACACCAGUGGCGAAGGCGGCAUACUAGCUCGAUACUGACGCUCAGUCACGAAAGCGUGGGGAGCAAAUAGGAUUAGAUACCCCAGUAGUC